rnacentral:rRNA from 1 species
AGUGAACGCUGGCGGUAGGCCUAACACAUGCAAGUCGAACGGCAGCACAGUAAGAGCUUGCUCUUACGGGUGGCGAGUGGCGGACGGGUGAGGAAUAUAACGGAAUCUACUUUUUCGUGGGGGAUAACGUAGGGAAACUUACGCUAAUACCGCAUACGACCUACGGGUGAAAGCAGGGGAUCUUCGCACCUUGCGCGAUUGAAUGAGCCGAUGUCGGAUUAGCUAGUUGGCGGGGUAAAGGCCCACCAAGGCGACGAUCCGUAGCUGGUCUGAGAGGAUGAUCAGCCACACUAGAACUGAGACACGGUCCAGACUCCUACGGGAGGCAGCAGUGUGGAAUAUUGGACAAUGGGCGCAAGCCUGAUCCAGCCAUACCGCGUGGGUGGAGAAGGCCUUCGGGUUGUAAAGCCCUUUUGUUGGGAAAGAAAAGCAGCAGGUUAAGACCCCGCUGUUCUGACGGUACCCAAUGAAUAAGCACCGGCUAACUUCGUG